rnacentral:rRNA from 1 species
GAGGGGGUUAGGGGUGUCGGCGGUGUGGCCAGGAGGAGGGUGGAGGGAAGAGCGGCAGUACUGGGAGGCAAGACAAGAGGAGGUGGCGAGGAAGUGCAGCUGCACGAGCGUGGCUCAUGGCGCAGGUGGGGGUUAGGAGAAACAACGCGUUCUGGCGUCUUCCUGCUUGCCGUCGCCAGGCUCGCGGCGGAGGAGGCGGUCGCCGUUGCCACUUGUGCCCUCGUCGCCGGGGCAAGCGGGCAAGGUUCCACUCCUUGCCUGGGGGAGCUGGACAGGAGAUGCCGCGGCGAGGGGAAGGAGGCAAAGGAACUAGCGCCCGCCACCCUCCUAUGGGCCCCCUUGUCUCCUCCCUCAACCUGUUCCCGCACUUCUCCGUGUUCAGUUCGUCCUCCACCCGUAGUGGCCUCCUCGUGUUGGCGUACCCCUCGCCUCCUCCAGCUACGUCCCCCGCGUUAUCCUACCAACCUCUCGUGCGUUGUAGAACGCUGUGUUCAGCCGACGAUUCUUCUCCUACGUCGUCGCGACCGAGGAGGAGAGGGGUGCGACAGCGGAAGGACGCAGCAACAACGGCGGUGCCGGAACGAGCGGUAGCUGGAGGGGCUCACGAAGAGAGACGACGUAGGGGGAAAGGUGCUCAAGAACGGAAGUUGCGAUUCGACCCACCGGACUCUCGUAGUCCCAAUCCGGAGGUUUACCGAGAACAACCAACACUACCCCACUCUACAUCGCCUCCCACUCCUCCGGUUGUUGUCCCACUUCGUCGUCGGACCGCUCAUAACGCUCGUCGUACUCGUAGGGCCCACGUAUACACUCCGAUACCCUCAGGCAAAAAGUACACUACUACUCUCCUCAUACUGUCCUGUUGGUUAACAUGGUACACUUGUGUUAACGACCCCCUAUUCGACCAGUUACGCGCUUUUAGACUUUCUUUCGCUGAUUUUAGUUGUAAACUUCCAUGUAUUUACUUGUAUUCCAAAACUCAUGAUUUAUCUUCGCGAACCUAGACCCAGUCGGCCCUAGGCCAACAACGACGGUACCUCCUCGAGAGGUGGCCAUCUCACCGUUCCCGCUCGCGCACUCGGCGACCACCUCGAACUCUACGACCCCGUGCUGCCGCCACCAGACCAAGCUGCGCGCUGAGAUCCUGCGCUACCAGGCCAUACCGGCGGAGGUGUCCCGGCCCCUGUCCACGCGCGCGAGCGACGCCGCCCUUGCUCUCGACGGGGGUGAGGAAAACAAGGGGUAGCAGCCGGAGAGGAGUCGGAACCGGAACAACGAGCGCCUCCUCUCUCUCUUCCUCCGCCACUGCCGGUCUUCCUUACUCCCCCAGUCCCCUCCUCCGCCCCUAACCCCCUCCAGCUCCCUUUCUCCUCCGCCCCUAAGGAUUGUAACACAUACAUAUCACAUAAUAACCUCGAAACGAUGUAGACAUCCAAACUUAACUACCGAUCUUUAUGUCUCACGGUAAAACAGAAUACCUCACUAUUAAUUCGUCCGUAUGUGUCGAC